rnacentral:rRNA from 1 species
UACGUAGAGUGCGAGCGUUAAUCGGAAUUACUGGGCGUAAAGCGUGCGCAGGCGGUUUUGUAAGCCAGAUGUGAAAUCCCCGGGCUUAACCUGGGAAUGGCAUUUGGGACUGCAAGGCUGGAGUGUGGCAGAGGAGACUGGAAUUCCUGGUGUAGCAGUGAAAUGCGUAGAUAUCAGGAGGAAUACCGAUGGCGAAGGCAAUCCCCUGGGCCUGCACUGACGCUCAUGCACGAAAGCGUGGGGAGCAAACAGG